GGGGAAUAUUGGACAAUGGGCGCAAGCCUGAUCCAGCCAUGCCGCGUGGGUGAAGAAGGCCUUCGGGUUGUAAAGCCCUUUUGUUGGGAAAGAAAAGCAGCCGGCCAAUACCCGGUUGUUCUGACGGUACCCAACGAAUAAGCACCGGCUAACUUCGUUCCAGCAGCCGCGGUAAUACGGAGGAUGCAAGCGUUAUCCGGAUUCAUUGGGUUUAAAGGGUGCGCAGGCGGAUUGAUAAGUCAGGGGUGAAAUCCCACAGCUCAACUGUGGAACUGCCUUUGAUACUGUUAGUCUUGAGUAUAGUUGAAGUGGGCGGAAUGUGUCAUGUAGCGGUGAAAUGCUUAGAUAUGACACAGAACACCGAUCGCGAAGGCAGCUCGCUAAGCUAUAACUGACGCUUAUGCACGAAAGCGUGGGGAGCAAACA
rnacentral:rRNA from 1 species